CCUACGGGUGGCAGCAGUGAGGAAUAUUGGUCAAUGGGCGGGAGCCUGAACCAGCCAAGUCGCGUGAGGGAAGACGGUCCUAUGGAUUGUAAACCUCUUUAGGCGGGGAGCAAUGCCGGGCACGCGUGCCCGGCGGGAGAGUACCCGCAGAAUAAGCAUCGGCUAACUCCGUGCCAGCCGCCGCGGUAAUACGGAGGAUGCGAGCGUUAUCCGGAUUUAUUGGGUUUACAGGGUGCGUAUGCGGAUUUUUAAGUCAGCGGUAAAAUGUCCGGGCUCAACCCGGGCCGGCCGUUGAAACUGGGGAUCUUGAGUGGGCGAGAAGUAUGCGGAAUGCGUGGUGUAGCGGUGAAAUGCAUAGAUAUCACGCAGAACUCCGAUUGCGAAGGCAGCAUACCGGCGCCCGACUGACGCUGAGGCACGAAAGCGUGGGGAUCGAACAGGAUUAGAUACCCGUGUAGUC
rnacentral:rRNA from 1 species